GACAGAGGGGGCAAGCGUUGCUCGGAAUCACUGGGCGUAAAGGGCGCGUAGGCGGGAUGGCAAGUCAGUCGUGAAAUCUCUCGGCUCAACCGAGAAACGUCGGCUGAUACUGCCGUUCUUGAGGGAUGCAGAGGAGACUGGAAUUCCCGGUGUAGCGGUGAAAUGUGUAGAGAUCGGGAGGAACACCGGUGGCGAAGGCGGGUCUCUGGGCAUUUCCUGACGCUGAGGCACGAAGGCCAGGGGGGCAAACGGG
rnacentral:rRNA from 1 species